CCUAGGGAACUGAAACAUCUAAGUACCUAGAGGAAGAGAAAGAAAAAUCGAUUUUCUUAGUAGCGGCGAGCGAAAAGGAAAGAGCCCAAACCAAAGAUUUAUCUUUGGGGUUGCGGACAGAACAUUAACUUAGGAAGCUAUUGUAACCGAAGAUAACUGGAAAGUUAAACCGUAGAGUGUAAUAGUCACGUAGGUGAAACGAGAAAGCCUAAAGUUCUGAUCCAGAGUACCACGAGACACGUGAAACCUUGUGGGAAGCAGGGAGGACCACCUCCCAAGGCUAAAUACUAC
rnacentral:rRNA from 1 species